UUUUCUCCAGGCAAGCAUGUGAAUUGCAGAACCUGAAGAAAAAAAAAUGUCCUGACCCACCUGGAGUGGUUUGGGUCUGAGAAGGAACCUGGCAGCCUCCUUUUGUGUCCUGGGUGUGGCCGUGGCUGUAAAAGGGGUAAAGGAUGGAGCAGCAGGGAGAGGAAUAGUGAUUGGAACCAAUGGUUCCUUAGGGAUUUGCAUCUGGAAACAGCCAUCAUUUUCCCCAUGGGAGUCCUGGAAACAGUACUGAGAAAUGAGGAUACUGCAGCUGGAGCGCUGAGAAUGGAGUGUCUGCAGGGAAUAUUGCUUGUUCACUGCAGAUCCCAAAACACCUACAGGAGGGAAGACCAUUACCUGUGCUUCCAGCACCAGGGUUUGGAACAUCUGUAACCAGAAGCUCACCUGUCCUGAACACAUCUCUUGAUAAAAUCAC